rnacentral:rRNA from 1 species
UACGGGGGGGGCAAGCGUUGUUCGGAAUUACUGGGCGUAAAGGGCUCGUAGGUGGCCAACUAAGUCAGACGUGAAAUCCCUCGGCCUAACCGGGGAACUGCAUCUGAUACUGGAUGGCUUGAGUUUGGGAGAGGGAUGCGGAAUUCCAGGUGUAGCGGUGAAAGGCGUAGAUAUCUGGAGGAACACCGGUGGCGAAGGCGACAUCCUGGACCGGUAUUGACGCUGAGGCGCGAAAGCCAGGGGAGCAAACGGG